rnacentral:rRNA from 1 species
GACAGAGGGUGCAAACGUUGUUCGGAAUUACUGGGCGUAAAGCGCGUGUAGGCGGCUCUGCAAGUCAGGUGUGAAAUCCCACGGCUCAACCAUGGAAGUGCACUUGAAACUGCAGGGCUAGAGUCCUGGAGAGGAAGGUGGAAUGCUUGGUGUAGAGGUGAAAUUCGUAGAUAUCAAGCGGAACACCGGUGGCGAAGGCGGCCUUCUGGACCAAUACUGACGCUCAUGCACGAAAGCGUGGGGAGCAAACAGG